rnacentral:rRNA from 1 species
UAGUCAUACGCUCGUCUCAAAGAUUAAGCCAUGCAUGUCUAAGUACAAGAUUUUUACUCUAAAACUGCGAAUGGCUCAUUAUAUCGGCUUUAACUUAUUUGAUAAUUACUUACUACUUGGAUAACCGUAGUAAUUCUAGAGCUAAUACAUGCAUUUAAACCGGACUUUAGGGAACGGUUGUACUUAUUAGAAACAAACCAACCUUCUUCGGAAGUAUGUUUGGUGAUUCAUAAUAACUUGAUGGAUCGCAUGGUUUUUACCAGCGACAAAUCAUUCAUGUUCCCGCCCUAUCAGCUUUGGAUGGUAGGGUAUUGGCCUACCAUGGCUUUUACGGGUGACGGAGGGUUAGGGCUUGACCCCGGAGAGGGAGCCUGAGAAACGGCUACCACAUCCAAGGAAGGCAGCAGGCGCGUAAAUUACCCAAUCCUGAUACAGGGAGGUAGUGACGAUAAAUAACAAUGCUGGGUCAUCUUGAUCUGGCAAUUGGAAUGAGAACCAUUUAAAUCUCAUAUCGAGGACCAAUU